rnacentral:rRNA from 1 species
GACGAACGCUGGCGGCGUGCUUAACACAUGCAAGUCGAACGGAGUGGAGAACGGGAGAGUAACGCGUAAUCCACCUGCCCUUCAGAGGGGGACAACAGUAGGAAACGACUGCUAAUACCGCAUACUGAAGGAGGGGAUUGCGUUUGAUUAGCUAGGUGGGGGGGUAACGGCCCACCAAGGCGAGGCUCAGUAGCCGGUUUGAGAGGAUGAACGGCCACAGUGGGACUGAGACACGGCCCAGACUCCUACGGGAGGCAGCCGUGGGGAAUCUUCCGCAAUGGACGAAAGUCUGACGGAGCAACGCCGCGUGAGGGAGGACGGCCUUCGGGUUUUAAAGCUCUGUUAAUCGGGACGCGGUACCGGAAUAGAAAGCCACGGCUAACUACGUGCCAGCAGCCGCGGUAAUAC